GACGAACGCUGGCGGCGUGCCUAAUACAUGCAAGUAGAACGCUGAAGGAGGAGCUUGCUUCUCUGGAUGAGUUGCGAACGGGUGAGUAACGCGUAGGUAACCUGCCUGGUAGCGGGGGAUAACUAUUGGAAACGAUAGCUAAUACCGCAUAAGAGUAGAUGUUGCAUGACAUUUGCUUAAAAGGUGCAAUUGCAUCACUACCAGAUGGACCUGCGUUGUAUUAGCUAGUUGGUGGGGUAACGGCUCACCAAGGCGACGAUACAUAGCCGACCUGAGAGGGGGGUCGGCCACACUGGGACUGAGACACGGCCCAGACUCCUUCGGGAGGCAGCAGUAGGGAAUCUUCGGCAAUGGACGGAAGUCUGACCGAGCAACGCCGCGUGAGUGAAGAAGGUUUUCGGAUCGUAAAGCUCUGUUGUAAGAGAAGAACGAGUGUGAGAGUGGAAAGUUCACACUGUGACGGUAUCUUACCAGAAAGGGACGGCUAACUACGUG
rnacentral:rRNA from 1 species